rnacentral:lncRNA from 1 species
GAUGAAUAUUGAUUCCUUUCCAAAAGCAGAGCUGGUACUUUGGGAAGACAGAAGUUCAUUAUACUAAUUAGAGGCCCUUGCCCUACCUCUUCAGAGGAUGUUCUCUUGGCCUGAGGUCAACCUGGAAACAUGGAAAAAAUAUGAUUUUGAAACUGUUCAAGACAACCAGGCAGCCUUCCUGGCGUUGUGCACGAACCUGCGACCCAGCUUCUUGGCAUACCAGAUAGAGGCAAACAUAGCGAUGCCAGUGGAAGGGAUGCACAAUGAAGCUGCUGCACAAUCAACUUCCCACCUCGGCUCAGAGACGAAUGGAUCCGGCUGGAGCUGUCACUUGCA